rnacentral:rRNA from 1 species
UUACGUCCAUAUCACGUUGAAACACCGAUUCUCGUACGAACACCGAAGUUAAGCAACGUCGAGCCAGGUCAGUGCUUAGAGGGAUGCCCGCUUGGGAAUACCAGGUGUUGU